rnacentral:rRNA from 1 species
GAUGAACGCUGGCGGCGUGCCUAACACAUGCAAGUCGUACGAGCUCGAUCUUCGGAACGGGUUAGUGGCGCACGGGUGAGUAACACGUAGGUGACCUACCCCAGAGUGGGGGAUAACUUCUCGAAAGAGAGGCUAAUACCGCAUACACUCGGUCAUUCAUUUGGCCGAGCAAAGCUCCGGCGCUUUGGGACGGGCCUGCGUCCGAUUAGCUAGUUGGUAGGGUAAUGGCUUACCAAGGCUUUGAUCGGUAGCUGGUCUGAGAGGACGAUCAGCCACACUGGCACUGACACACGGGCCAGACUCCUACGGGAGGCAGCAGUGAGGAAUAUUGGGCAAUGGGCGAAAGCCUGACCCAGCAACGCCGCGUGAGGGAUGAAGGCCUUCGGGUUGUAACCUCUUUCUGGGAGAAGAGACAAGGACGGUAUCCCAGGAAUAAGUCUCGGCUAACUACGUGCCAGCAGCCGCGGUAAU